CUCUCCCCCACUGAGCCCCUGAUUUUUCUACUGUUGUCUAGUCUCCUCUCUGACUUGACCAUCGGAGGAUCUCCAUCGGAGGCAUCUCCGGUCAGUGAGAAUCUUUUCUUGUAGGUGCGCGACACCGACGAUUGGACGAUGGGGGGAUUGACCACAACAAUCGAGUUGGAGAUCGAUGAUGCCAGUAAGACUGGUACAUCCUAUGCAUGCUCGAUAGAGAGAGUGAGUGAUCUCACAAUCAC
rnacentral:lncRNA from 1 species